ensembl:misc_RNA Metazoa_SRP Metazoan signal recognition particle RNA
GCCAGGUGUGGUGGCUCACGCCUGUAAUCCCAGCACUUUGGGAGGCCAAGGUAGGAGGAUCACUUGAGGCCAGGAGUUUGAUACCAGCCUGGCCAACAUGGUGAAAUCCUACCUUUA